rnacentral:piRNA from 1 species
UGCUCCUCCACACAUGCCGCACCCACAC